rnacentral:rRNA from 1 species
CCCUUAGAUGUCCUGGGCCGCACGCGCGUUACACUGAUGCAUUCAACGAGCUUAUAACCUUGGCCGAGAGGCCUGGGCAAUCUUGUUAACGUGCAUCGUGAUAGGGAUAGAUUAUUGAAAUUAUUAAUCUUGAACGAGGAAUUCCUAGUAAACGCAGAUCAUCAAUCUGCAUUGAUUACGUCCCUGCCCUUUGUACACACCGCCCGUCGCGCCUACCGAUUGGAUGGUCCGGUGAAGCCUCGGGAUUGUGGUUCUUGCCGCUUUAUUGUAGCGUGACCGCGAGAACUUGUCUAAACCUUAUCAUCUAGAGGAAGGUGAAGUCGUAACA